AUGUUGACUUGUUCAGUAUUCCAAAUAAAGGCAUAUAGCUCUCUGAAAAUGUUCCCUAACCCAGGAAAUGAAAAGCCCUCUUCUGUCGAAAAUGCGAAGUUCCCCACUCUGCCCAUGGAAACACGUAUCCUGGCCUAUGGAAGAAAAUGCUGCUCCGUUUCAGAAUUGAAAACAGUUAAUUCCAUCACUGCGAAUCCCUGGAGACUGAAUCGAAAGACUGGCCUGUCGGUGGAUCCUAUUAGUCAUCGUUCUGCCUGCCACUUACCAUGUAAACUUUCUAACCCAAGGAACAAGAAUUUGGGCUUUGACCUGAACGAUACUUCUCUGGAGCUUCCCCAGUGACCCUGAAAUUCCCAAAUGUUGUCCCAUGUUCACUGAGGACUCCAGGAAACUAGAGCGGGUCCUGCGAUGUGCAUUCCUCUUUCUACAAGCUCUAUAUAUGGCAGUCACUUGGAGAAGACUCCCUGCGAAGCUCAUAGUGCCUUAAUCAAGAAGUAAGCUCAGGUUUACUCUAUUCUCAGAUGCCCAAAUAGAAAAAAAAAUAAUAAACCCAAAAUAUGUCAAUUCUCUUCCCACUCUUUCAAUUCCAAACCUUUUUUGUUCCUAGUUCAUUUUAGGAAGUAUUUUCCAGUCUGAGAGAGCGAGGAGGGAAUAGAAACUCCUCUAGAAGGAGAUAAAAUGGUCCGCUGGAACUCUCUUCUUGGACUUAGGCCUGUAGCUUUUAAGCUUGGAAGAUUGAGAACUUGUCUUCCUUUUCAAGUGUACAUCUGAUAACUUCCCCAAAUCUCCCACCCAACUGAGGUAUAGUCACGCAAAGAAGAAAAGAAGAUGCAUAUUGUUGUCUCAAGUUUAUUACCCCAACACAGAUCCACACUGAGGUGAAUGUUUCUUAAAGCACUCAUAUUAGUUAUUAGUCUUACUUGAACCAUAUCAGGUUGUUCUAAUUCCUAAGCAAUUU
rnacentral:lncRNA from 1 species